AUGGUACUCCCUCCGUUCGGAAUUACUUGUCGCAGAAAUGGAUGUAUCUAGAUGUAUUUUAGUUCUAGAUACAUCCAUAUCCAAGACAAGUAAUUCCGAACGGAGGGAGUACCAA
rnacentral:pre_miRNA from 1 species